UGGGGAAUAUUGGGCAAUGGGCGAAAGCCUGACCCAGCAACGCCGCGUGAAGUAUGAAGGCCUUCGGGUUGUAAACUUCUUUGAUCAGGGAAGAAACAAAUGACGGUACCUGAAAAACAAGCCACGGCUAACUACGUGCCAGCAGCCGCGGUAAUACGUAGGUGGCGAGCGUUAUCCGGAUUUACUGGGUGUAAAGGGCGUGCAGGCGGGCUGAUAAGUCAGAUGUGAAAUCCCCGAGCUUAACUCGGGAACUGCAUCUGAUACUGUUGGUCUUGAGUGCUGGAGAGGAUAGUGGAAUUCCUAGUGUAGCGGUAAAAUGCGCAGAUAUUAGGAGGAACACCAGUGGCGAAGGCGGCUUUCUGGACUGCAACUGACACUGAGGCACGAAAGCGUGGGUAGCAAACAGG
rnacentral:rRNA from 1 species